CACAGUUGGUACAGGUUAAGUAGUGAUGUCAGAGUUGCUUCACGAGAGUACAGCAGUGUUAAAUUUGCUAUAGUGGGCGGAAAGGGUCUUCGAAGGACUUCACGACUGGCAACCCCUGGGUACGAAGUAGAGGUUGCAGCCUAUUACUGACAUGAGGAAUUGAACGCCUAAUAUGACUUACAUCCAUACAACAAGGAUUCUGCUUCAAUGCCGUACCUUUGAAAUAGGGUCUGCUUAAGAUACAUCUAUAUCACUACAAACUUCAUUAGCAGCUGAAGCAAACCUAGCAGAAGCGGCUUUAACUGCUCUGAAGGAAGAAUAUAACUGUAGUCAUAUUGAGGAAAGAAGCGAUUAGAACUGAUGGCCGCAAACUUCUGCUGCAUACAUGCAAGAUUGUUACCAUCCUUAGAUGUAAUAGAAUUCCAAACUUCAUAUAGGUGAGAUGUCAGCAGUAAUGUCACUGCCUACUCCAGGUGCUACAGUAGUGCCAUUAGCAGCCUCUUCGCAAAUAGCACCGAAGUGUGAUAACAUGGAGCAACAGUUGUGGAGUUUUUCUCUCCUGUUUUCAUGUAACAUAUAGAAGUGUUGUGUAUAUAUAUAU